GACGAACGCUGGCGGCGUGCUUAACACAUGCAAGUCGAGCGGUAAGGCCCUUUCGGGGGUACGACGAGCGGCGAACGGGUGAGUAACACGUGGGUGACCUCGCCCUUACGCUCUGGGAGUAAGCCUCGGGAAACGUGGGUCUAAUACCGGAUAUGACUCCAUGACGCAUGUUGUGGGGUGGAAAGCCUUGUGCGGCUAGGGAUGGGCCCGCGGCCUAUCAGCUUGUUGGUGGGGUGAUGGCCACCGAAGGCGACGACGGGUAGCCGGCCUGAGAGGG
rnacentral:rRNA from 1 species